GAUGAACGCUGGCGGCGCGCCUAACACAUGCAAGUCGAACGAUUAAAGCACCUUCGGGUGCGUAUAAAGUGGCGAACGGCCGAGUAACACGUGGGUAACUUGCCCCCCUCAUUGGGAUAGCCACGGGAAACCGUGGAUAAUACCGAAUACUUCGUGACUUCCGCAUGGAAGACCCGAGAAAGCUCCGGCGGUGAGGGAUGGGCCCGCGGCCUGUCAGCUUGUUGGUGGGGUAAUGGCCUACCAAGGCAAUGAUGGGUAGCUGGGAUGAGAAGCGGACCAGCCAGAUUAGGACUGAGGCACGGCCCAGACUCCUACGGGAGGCAGCGGUGGGGAGUCUUGCACAGUGGGCGAGCGCCUGAUACGACGGCGCCGCGUGCGGAAUGAAGGCCUUCGGGUUGUGAACCGCUUUCAGCAGAGACGAGGCGAAAGUGACGGUACCUACAGAAGAAGCCCCGGCUAACUACGUG
rnacentral:rRNA from 1 species